UACUCGUCCCAUUAAGGAGCA
rnacentral:piRNA from 1 species